rnacentral:misc_RNA from 1 species
AUUUUAAUACCAAAUUAGCUUUUCUUAAAAAAAAAAAAAUCUGUUUUUUCCUUCUUGCUUUCAUCUUCAACAGGUUUGAUGAAAUGCCUCAAUGAAUUUAUGACUUUAUAUGCUUCAAUUUAUAAGUGAUUAAUUAACAGUACUUUUUUGAAAUAUAUGGUAGGUUCUUGAUCGAUAAAGUAUAAUUAGUCUAAUAUUGAAAUGGUUAUAUUGCAAAAUCUUCUUAAUUUAAGGUAUGUGCACCAGUGAGUCAGAGUAGUGGCUCUGGAAGGCUUGGUGAUGGUCCAUUAAUAUGAAUAAUGUUAAAUUUAUAUUGCUUAAAUAUAUUUGUUGAAACUCAUAUUGCUUAUUUUAAUUGGUUGCAUUUGCAUAUAUAUAUAUCAGUAGAAUUUGAUGUUUUCAACAUUUUUCAUUAUGAAAAAAGCAUCAAUUGUAGAUGGUUUUUCCAUCUAUAUAUAUACACACUAAUCCUUUGACUUUUGAUAAUCAUCCUGCUAAAUCUUGAAGAAUUGGUUGUGUUUGCAUAUGGGGCGAGUUUGCCAACCUGGUGUAUUAUGAACUCUUUUUGUUAGGGAUUUUCUGGUUAUUUAAAAUUAAUAAAAUAUAUGAGUUAUCAAAAAAACAAUGAAUGUUAAUUAUUGUUUGAUAAAAGUGUAGUUUAUACAUUUUUAACUAUUUAAAAUUUGGCUUUCUCUAUAUUUAAUUCUUUGUCUGUCCCUGAUUAGAAAUGAUGGGUUGUAUGAAUGUCUUCCAUGAGAUUAGUGUUUGUUUUAUUGUAGCUAUAAUUUAUUUAUUUGAUGUUACAGAGUUCUGAAUUUUCUUGGCUGGA